rnacentral:rRNA from 1 species
CUCGCCAGCUAAAGGUGAGUGCGGCGCACAGCUCAGUAACGCGUGGCUAACCUGCCCUUGGGACGGGGACACCCCGGGAAACUGGGGUUAAUCCCCGAUAGGCGAAGAACUCUGGAAUGAGUCUCCACCUAAAAGGCGCUUAUACUAUGCUUGUAGGUGUCGCCCAAGGAUGGGGCCGCGACCGAUCAGGUUGUUGGUGAGGUAAUGGCUCACCAAGCCUUUAACCGGUGCGGGCCGUGAGAGCGGGAGCCCGGAGAUGGGCACUGAGACAAGGGCCCAGGCCCUACGGGGCGCAGCAGUCGCGAAAACUUUGCAAUACACGAAAGUGUGACAGGGCUAUCCCGAGUGCCAUCCGCUGAGGAAGGCUUUUACCCAGUAUAAAUAGCUGGGGGAAUAAGGAGAGGGCAAGACUGGUGUCAGCCGCCGCGGUAAUACCAGCUCUCCGAGUGGUGUGGAUGUUUAUUGGGCCUAAAGCAUCCGUAGCUGGCUGGACAAGUCCCCUGUAUAAUCCACCGAUUUAAUCGUUGGUGUGCGGGGGAUACUGUUCGGCUAGGGGACGGGAGAGGCAGACGGUAUUUUCGGG